rnacentral:rRNA from 1 species
CAAUAGCGUAUAUUAAAGUUGUUGCAGUUAAAAAGCUCGUAGUUGGAUUUGUGGUUCGUCCCGCCGGCUGGGUCAUUGACUUUUGCUGUGCUGGUCGUCCAUCCUUGGGUGGAAUCUGUGUGGCAUUAGGUUGUCGCGCAGGGGAUGCCCAUCGUUUACUGUGAAAAAUUAGAGUGUUCAAAGCAGGCUUAUGCCGUUGAAUAUAUUAGCAUGGAAUAAUGAUAUAGGACCUUGGUACUAUUUUGUUGGUUUGCGCACUGAGGUAAUGAUUAAUAGGGACAGUUGGGGGUAUUCGUAUUCCAUUGUAAGAGGUGAAAUUCUUGGAUUUUUGGAAGACGAACUACUGCGAAAGCAUUUACCAAGGAUGUUUUCAUUAA